CUCGUAGGCGGUUCAGCAAGUCGGCUGUGAAAUUUCGAGGCUCAACCUCGAAACUGCAGUCGAAACUGCUGUGACUCGAGUCCGGUAGAGGGGAAUGGAAUUCCCGGUGUAGCGGUGAAAUGCGCAGAUAUCGGGAGGAACACCAGUAGCGAAGGCGGUUCUCUGGGCCGGCACUGACGCUGAGGAGCGAAAGCGUGGGUAGCAAACA
rnacentral:rRNA from 1 species